UAGCAAACUUCUGAAGGUUUAGGAAGCUGAGCUAUGGGAAUCUGGUUUCUUUUCCGGUCAGAACAAAUAAACACGCAAACACACAUCGAACUCACAAAGUGUUAGAAGAGAUAAACCAAUGCUCUUUGCAAAGGAGGAAAACAAAAACUCAGCCUUGUGGGCAACAGAAGAAAAGUCACAUUGGCCAGGAAGCAGCACCCUAUGCUGGCAGAGGGAGAAAUCUGAGCUCCUGCGGCAUCGGGUGGUAUUCGCACACAGCCUCCCGUUUCAAGUUGCAUGUCUCCGGAGUCCCAGGGAAGGCCCCAGCCCGGCUCCCUUCUCAGAGCCCGGAGGACUGGUGAGAAGCCCCUGCACCACCCGCAGGACACGCAGAUCUGCUCAUCCGGUUCCCUCCUUCAUCCUGUUCAGCUGCUUCCAGCUCCUGAGAGAGAAUAACUGAGCGGCUCACAUAGGUGAGGACACUGAGGUUCAGAGGGACUAAGUGUGCCAGCAAGACGAUGAUCAACAUCUAGAGCCCAGGACUCCUGCCCCUAAAGCCAGACUCUUUCCCCUCAUAUAUAGACUCCUGAUCCUGCCUGUGGACUUUGAGCAUCUAUGAGCCAUGCUGUCAUGUGACUGCAAGAUUUCAAGGAAGGGAAAAGUAAUUUAUAUUCAAAAAAUAAAUUGUUAGGCUCUAUUAUGGGCUAAAUUGUGUCCCUCCAAAGUUCACAUAUCAAACCCGGUACCUCAGAAUGUGACUAUUUGGAGAUAGUACCUUUAAAAAGGUGAUUAAGUUAAGAGGAGGUUACUAGGGUAGGCCCUAAUCCAAUAUGACUGGCAUCUUUAUAAGAGGAGGAAAUUAAGAUACAAUACAGACCAAAGACCACGUGAGGAGACAUCAAGAAGGUGGCCAUCUGGGAGCCAAGGAGAGAGGCCUCAAAAGAACAACCUCGAUCUUGAACUUCCUUACAACACCUGUCAAUACCUUGAGCUUGAACAUCUAGUCUCCUAAACUUUGAGAAAAUACAUUUCUGCUGUUUAAGCUACCUGGUCUAUGGUACUUUGUUAGGGCAGCCUGGGGCUGCCAUAGCAAGC